UUUUUGUUUGGAGAGUUUGAUUCUGGCUCAGGACGAACGCUGGCGGCGUGCUUAACACAUGCAAGUCGAACGGUAAGGCCCUUCGGGGUACACGAGUGGCGAACGGGUGAGUAACACGUGGGUAAUCUGCCCUGCACAUCGGGAUAAGCCUGGGAAACUGGGUCUAAUACCGAAUAGGACCACAGAACACAUGUCCUGUGGUGGAAAGCUUUUGCGGUGUGGGAUGGGCCCGCGGCCUAUCAGCUUGUUGGUGGGGUGAUGGCCCACCAAGGCGACGACGGGUAGCCGGCCUGAGAGGGUGUCCGGCCACACUGGGACUGAGAUACGGCCCAGACUCCUACGGGAGGCAGCAGUGGGGAAUAUUGCACAAUGGGCGAAAGCCUGAUGCAGCGACGCCGCGUGGGGGAUGACGGCCUUCGGGUUGUAAACCUCUUUCACCAUCGACGAAGGUCCGGGUGUUCUCGGGCUGACGGUAGGUGGAGAAGAAGCACCGGCCAACUACGUGCCAGCAGCCGCGGUAAUACGUAGGGUGCGAGCGUUGUCCGGAAUUACUGGGCGUAAAGAGCUCGUAGGUGGUUUGUCGCGUUGUUCGUGAAAUCUCACGGCUUAACUGUGAGCGUGCGGGCGAUACGGGCAGACUUGAGUACUGCAGGGGAGACUGGAAUUCCUGGUGUAGCGGUGGAAUGCGCAGAUAUCAGGAGGAACACCGGUGGCGAAGGCGGGUCUCUGGGCAGUAACUGACGCUGAGGAGCGAAAGCGUGGGGAGCGAACAGGAUUAGAUACCCUGGUAGUCCACGCCGUAAACGGUGGGUACUAGGUGUGGGUUUCCUUCCUUGGGAUCCGUGCCGUAGCUAACGCAUUAAGUACCCCGCCUGGGGAGUACGGCCGCAAGGCUAAAACUCAAAGAAAUUGACGGGGGCCCGCACAAGCGGCGGAGCAUGUGGAUUAAUUCGAUGCAACGCGAAGAACCUUACCUGGGUUUGACAUGCACAGGACGCCGGCAGAGAUGUCGGUUCCCUUGUGGCCUGUGUGCAGGUGGUGCAUGGCUGUCGUCAGCUCGUGUCGUGAGAUGUUGGGUUAAGUCCCGCAACGAGCGCAACCCUUGUCUCAUGUUGCCAGCGGGUAAUGCCGGGGACUCGUGAGAGACUGCCGGGGUCAACUCGGAGGAAGGUGGGGAUGACGUCAAGUCAUCAUGCCCCUUAUGUCCAGGGCUUCACACAUGCUACAAUGGCCGGUACAAAGGGCUGCGAUGCCGCGAGGUUAAGCGAAUCCUUUUAAAGCCGGUCUCAGUUCGGAUCGGGGUCUGCAACUCGACCCCGUGAAGUCGGAGUCGCUAGUAAUCGCAGAUCAGCAACGCUGCGGUGAAUACGUUCCCGGGCCUUGUACACACCGCCCGUCACGUCAUGAAAGUCGGUAACACCCGAAGCCAGUGGCCUAACCCUUUGGGAGGGAGCUGUCGAAGGUGGGAUCGGCGAUUGGGACGAAGUCGUAACAAGGUAGCCGUACCGGAAGGUGCGGCUGGAUCACCUCCUUUCUAAGGAG
rnacentral:rRNA from 1 species